rnacentral:rRNA from 1 species
UACGAAGGGUGCUAGCGUUGUUCGGAAUCACUGGGCGUAAAGCGCGCGUAGGCGGCGUAACAAGUCAGAGGUGAAAUCCCCCAGGCUCAACCUGGGAAUUGCCUUUGAAACUGUUAUGCUUGAGUGUCGGAGGGGAUAGCGGAAUUGCUAAUGUAGAGGUGAAAUUCGUAGAUAUUAGCAGGAACACCGGUGGCGAAGGCGGCUAUCUGGACGACAACUGACGCUGAGGCGCGAAAGCGCGGGGAUCAAACAGG